rnacentral:rRNA from 1 species
UACGUAGGGUGCGAGCGUUGUCCGGAAUUAUUGGGCGUAAAGAGCGCGCAGGCGGUCGUUCAAGUCGCGUGUGAAAGCCCCCGGCUCAACUGGGGAGGGUCACGCGAUACUGAUCGACUCGAAGGCAGGAGAGGGUAGUGGAAUUCCCGGUGUAGUGGUGAAAUGCGUAGAUAUCGGGAGGAACACCAGUGGCGAAGGCGGCUCACUGGCCCGAUACUGACGCUGAGGCACGAAAGCGUGGGGAGCAAACAGG